rnacentral:lncRNA from 1 species
CCACCCCAAAUCUGUCCUAUUUGCAUCGCUAAACUUAAGUAAUAGAAAGACACUACCUUAAAAAAGAAAAGGAAAAACUUUAAAUACCACCCAUGUAGUUUCACAUUUUCGCACUUUAGUAUCCUAUGAUUUAAAAUGUAUCAAUUUAGUGCCAUAUGGUUUUAUUAUUUUCUUUUUAUUAUCGAUUCUACUCAUUUUUUUCGUUAAAUCAGUGAUAAAGGUAAAACUAAAGGAUAGUAAAGUGAAUAUUCGAUAAAUCUAGGUGGGAUAUCUGAAAUUUUUUAUAUAUAAUUUAACGAAAUAUUAACGAAGAAGCUGACGAAAAGAUAAAAAUGAAAUCACAUGACACUAACUUGAUUUAUUUUAAGCUAUAGGAUACUUAGGUAGUGUUUGGUUGGAGAACAAGGGGGGGAAUAAGUCCUUGUUCCCCCCUUUGUUCCCAAACGCAAUAUUUGUUGCCCGGGAACAGUAGUUCCAGAAUUUCAAGAACAAGCCGGUAUAAAGCUGGAACUGUUGUUCCACCUUUUUACUGGAACAAGCUUAUUUUUUGAUGAGAACAAGAUUAAUUAAAAUCUAAAUUUAAUUUUAAUAAUAGUAAACUAUUAAUUAAUCUAAUUAAUAUAUUUAAAUUAUUAUUUAUUACUUUAAUAAUUAAGUAAUUAAUUAAUUUAUUAUUUGUAAUUAAUUAAUAAUAAUUAGAUAAUUAUUAUAAUUAAUUUAUUAUUGAUAAUUAAUUAUUAAUAAUUAAUAAUUAAUAAUAUUUAUUAUUAUUUAUUAAUAAUUACUAUCCUUAAUAAUUAGAUAAUCGAUUGUAUUAUUAAUUUAUUAUUUAUAAUUAAUUAUUAAUAAUUAUUAAUUAGACAAUCGCUAUUAUUAUUAAUUUAUUAUUUAUAAUUAAUUAAUGAUA